UGGGAGUAGAGAGUGGUGGAGAGAAAGAGAGAAGGUCAGAGAGGUCAGUAAAGUCCAGACCAUGCACAGCUUCAGGUCAGGUGAAGAAUGGGAAGCUAUUGGCAGAUUUUAAGCAGGGGAAUGUCAUGAUCUAAUGUUUUCAAAAGACCACUCUAGCAGGAGUGUGGUGGAGUGAGAGUGGGUGUGGGAAGAGCAGUUAUAUGACCAUUUAAGCGAUCUUAGCAGACAUGAUGGCAGCUCUGCAAUGAAGACCAGGAGAUGAACACGGGAUACAUUUUGGAGUUGUAGCUGAUCGGGCAUACUGAUGGAUUAGAGGGGGGUAGCAGUAAGCAAGGGGUCUUUGAAGAGUUCACCCAGGAGCUUCAAAAUGAGGAACAGUGCUUGCAAUUUCCUUGAAUACUAAGAACAUCCAGCUAUUUGUAGACAGAUAAAAGAGAGCAGCCCCCAGAGGUGCUGAUCCAGCCAAGAUAGCUCAUCCAGGUAACUGCACUGGGGAAAAGAUUAUAUCCAAAACUUUUGGAUUGCUCGACAUUAGAUGUUAACUCUGAGCUAAUACUAAUUUCCAGGGACCCAGAAUGAACUUAUCAAUGGAUAUCAGGAAUGGAGAUGACACAUGAAUAAGCACAGUAACAAGGAUUUCCCCUCACCAGGAUGACGUGGCCUUUGCCAUUGCUGAGAACCCAUUUUGCACGCAAUGUUUUCCCGGAUAAUAAAUGACACAGCUGGGAUUUAUUCAGGUGUUCUGACUCCAAAGUCCUUGCUCCUGAUCACCAUGCGCUACCGACUUUGAGCAGUGAUGUCUCACAGAUGGGAAUGAUUCCUCUGAAGAUUGAAUAGAGAAUGCCACCAUGUGAAGUGAUAUUUGAGCUGGAACCUGAGUGAAUGAUGGAAUGGAGAAGUCAGGUACAGAGCUGUGGGGAUAGCAUCACAGGACUGAACAGAAGUAGCUGUGCAACCACCACUAGAAGCCUUCUGAGCGUGUUACUGAAGAGGAUGAGGCAGGAGGCUUCCAGAGGCAACAGCCAAGACUAAGCCAUCAACCACAGGGCCAAACCCAGUAAAAAAGAAAAAUAAGAACACUUCCACUUAAAGAACUGCUGCAAUUAUACUGUUCCUUUUUUUUUUCCAUUAACAUGUCUUUCCUUUUAUGAUGGCGAGAGUUAAUAUUAAGGUGUGCAUAUAUGUUUGUUAAACGAUCUCAUUUUGCAAUUAAAAGUUUGCACUUAUAUUAA
rnacentral:lncRNA from 1 species